rnacentral:rRNA from 1 species
CUGCGUACCUUUUGUAUAAUGGGUCAGCGACUUAUAUUCAGUGGCAAGGUUAACCAUCUAGGGGAGCCGUAGGGAAACCGAGUCUUAACUGGGCGUUCAGUCUCUGGAUAUAGACCCGAAACCAGGUGAUCUAGCCAUGGGCAGGUUGAAGGUUGAGUAACAUCAACUGGAGGACCGAACCGACUAAUGUUGAAAAAUUAGCGGAUGACUUGUGGCUAGGGGUGAAAGGCCAAUCAAACCUGGAGAUAGCUGGUUCUCCCCGAAAGCUAUUUAGGUAGCGCCUCGGACGAAUACUACUGGGGGUAGAGCACUGUUAAGGCUAGGGGGUCAUCCCGACUUACCAACCCUUUGCAAACUCCGAAUACCAGUAAGUACUAUCCGGGAGACACACGGCGGGUGCUAACGUCCGUCGUGGAGAGGGAAACAACCCAGACCGCCAGCUAAGGUCCCAAAUUACUACUAAGUGGGAAACGAUGUGGGAAGGCUCAGACAGCCAGGAUGUUGGCUUAGAAGCAGCCAUCAUUUAAAGAAAGCGUAAUAGCUCACUGGUCGAGUCGGCCUGCGCGGAAGAUGUAACGGGGCUAAGUAGUAAACCGAAGCUGCGGCAAUGUGCUUUUGCACAUUGGGUAGGGGAGCGUUCUGUAAGCGGUUGAAGGUGUGUGGUAACGCAUGCUGGACGUAUCAGAAGUGCGAAUGCUGACAUGAGUAACGAUAAAGGGGGUGAAAAACCUCCUCGCCGGAAGACCAAGGGUUCCUGUCCAACGUUAAUCGGGGCAGGGUAAGUCGACCCCUAAGGCGAGGCCGAAAGGCGUAGUCGAUGGGAAACGGGUUAAUAUUCCCGUACUUCUUACAAUUGCGAUGGGGGGACGGAGAAGGCUAGGUGGGCCUGGCGACGGUUGUCCAGGUUCAAGUGCGUAGGCUUAAGAGUUAGGUAAAUCCGGCUCUUUUUAAGGCUGAGACACGACGUCGAGCACCUACGGGUGUGAAGUCAUUGAUGCCAUGCUUCCAGGAAAAGCCUCUAAGCUUCAGAUUGUAAGGAAUCGUACCCCAAACCGACACAGGUGGUCGGGUAGAGAAUACCAAGGCGCUUGAGAGAACUCGGGUGAAGGAACUAGGCAAAAUGGUACCGUAACUUCGGGAGAAGGUACGCUCUCGACGGUGAAGUCCCUCGCGGAUGGAGCUAUUGAGAGUCGCAGAUACCAGGUGGCUGCAACUGUUUAUUAAAAA